GAAAAACUUGUUUAUUUAUAGUAAAGAGGCAUCCCACCUCUGCAAUGACAUACACAUGCACGGGUUCCCAACAAGGUCCAUCUUUUUCAUUGAUAUGAUAAUACAAGUACUAAUAUUGCAGAACACAAACAUGGACUGGAGAAAUUACAUUAUUUGAAUUAAAAUUUGGCAAUCGCCUAUAAAUUUAAAGUUGAAAAAAGAUUAGUGGCCCGUUAUGCCUUUGCCCUUGUCCAUUUCCCUCAUGGUAUUACAGGAAGGGACAAAUGAAGCAAGAGGCGGACUCGGCUGAAAUUCGGUGCCCUCCCUUGAACAGAAGGAGGAACCGAAGGGUAGGAGGAACAGUGGCGCUGGAAGGAGCCCAGGGGUAGCGGAGUCACCGGCAAACGCGAGCUGUCAGAAUGCCCACACCCAUUCUUGGCGCGUCAUGGGUUGCUGCUACCUCAGGUACCGCUGCCGUUCGACGAUCCUGUCACGGCAGCCGUACCGGACGCCAUGCUGUCCGAAGGACUCUCCACAUAGAGCAUGUUCGUCCCCAGUGGCCCUGAUAUCGGAGCCACCAUGUGCCCAGAAGGCAUGAAUAGGAGCGAAGAACCCUCUUGCACGACAGAAGGACGACGCCCUUGGGGGGACCGAUUUGCCCCUUUUAGCGAAGAAUCUCUUCCAUGGCUCUUCCCCGGCGGCGUAAGGGGAAGAAGAACAGGGAGCGAACGCCUACCGCGGACCAUGCCUGCCUCGAUCCGCGACAUGGUGUCGCUUGCAUCUCCUCAUACUGGAGUCAAGGCCAUGGGUGGCCCGGCAGAAAGAACGCCGGGAUUGCCACCCCCGGUGUCGUCGCCGCGCCGCCCGAGUCCGCUUUUCAGAUCCAGGGAAGGCUUCGAGAUGGAGGCCGGGGGCUAGCCCCAGGCCCUCUCCCACAACAUGAUCAGCCGAAGCAGAAAAUAAGAAGAGGAUGGAGGCAAAUAUGAAUGACUCUACCCGCCUCCGCCCCUCCCUUUUAUAGGCAGCGCGAAGAGGGGGGGGGGGUGCUCCAUCAACGGGCGACCACUGCCCUCCUCCACCAAUUCAAGAUGACCGGGCCCUCACCAUGAUGCUCUCCCGCGCCACACGGCUCUAUUACCUACCUUGCACGAUGCAUGUAGCAUAUGUGGCCAAGGAUAAGCGCGUGGUGGGAAGAGUAAAUUGGCCGUUUCUACCCCAUGCGUUAAUGUUAUUCGCGGGUCGUUACUGGAGCGGCCCCACCACUAUUGGCUUUACACGACACAUGGAGAAACCAGAAAACUGGCCCGGAAUCAAUUCUAAUGAAGAAGCAAAGAAGACUUCAAGAGACCGGCCUCUUUAGCAACCCUCGACUAUACAGUUAUUAUGUCCUACCCCGACGUCGUUCGGAAGCGCGUUCGGGGUAGGCCCGGGGGCUUCUGUCGGUGCAAGAAACCCUAGGUAUGUUGCCCAGACUGUGCACAGGCACAUGAACAAGGUUGAAGCACCAGCCCAAGUGAGAAUACAAGAAACCAAGAUUUCAAAGGAACAACAUGCAAAUCAGAGGGACCAAGAAUGAGCCAAGGAAGCAGAUAUCAUCAAGAGAAGAAACCUCCCUUGCCGGGCAGGUGAGCCCGUCAAGGGGCGAGGACACCCCAAUAGCAGAUAGCCAAAACACCCUGGCAGGGACUGCCGGGGGCUCACGGAGGCAGAACCGCCUAACCAACCACUCCAACACGACCCACAUCGCUGAUCAGUGCGGUGUCAAGCCACAAAGUGAUUAAGUGGUAGCCAUUCGCCACAUGGAAGCCAUUUCCUACAGGAGAAACUCGCAAAUGACACUUGUCCUACAACCUAUAAAGAGAACAGGUGCAGAGCUGGAAAGAUAGCCUGGCAAGCCUUGCGGGGCAACCAACGAUGUGAAGUUAAGCGGUGCAUUUAAUGCGCCCUGUCUACCCGCAGAGUUAGGUAUGAUAGCACUGUUUGCUAUCUUAUCAAUGCUUAAUGACUAAUUUCCCACUUUGGUUACCACUUGAUCUAUAAAAGGAGGCCCAUGGCAACCGUAGAAAGGGUUGGAAGGUUGGAUAACUCACACCCCCAUACGCGCGUAGUCGCUGCUGUCGUAAAGCAACCCUUGCCGGGAAAAUUGUACUAUGCCCACCUGUCGGGGGUGUCGUGCGACAUAUGCCAAAGGAUGGCUUAUCAUGGUGGGGGAUAGUAAGGCGUCGUCGGUGCCAGGAAAUGAGAUGACGCGUAGGCACGUACGCUGACGAACUUUACCCAGGUUUGGGGCUCUCCUAGGAGAUAACACCCCUAGUCCUGCUCUGCAGGAUCUCCGCAUGAUCACGCAAGCAACAAUGGUGGCUACAAGCUUGCUCCUUGAGCUGUUUCUCUAGAGGGGGAAGAAGAGCAAGGCUUGCCCUAGCUUCCUCUCUCUAUGUGUGUGGGUGGACUACGGUCUAAACCCUUUGCAUGGGUGCCCUGGGAGUUUAUAUAGGCCUACCCCCAGGGGUACAAUGGUAAUCUAGCCGUGUGUAGGACCCGUCUGUCAGUGUCUAUGGUCGUCGGCUUCUCCGCCGGCCGCUAGGGCCCGCCGCCUAGUGGGUCCCGCCGGCUGUCUUGUACUUCACCGACAGGUCGUGCCCAUCGCUUGCGGGUCCUGCCGGCUGCUUAGCACUGUGGCAAUGCCACUAAUGAUGCAUGCUUUGUCGGGGAAGGCAUGGCUAUAGUGCCGCCGCCUGGCGGGCGUUCACUGUAGCUACUCCUAGUCUCUUCCGAUUAAUGGUGCCUAGACUUUGACUGAAAGGGAGGGCUGCAUGCUGGGAGUCGGCCUCCCCCCGUGCCGUCUGGACGGAACUCGCUGCCUUCUGUCUUCUCACAGAGAGGUAGGGCCAGCCGCCUGCGGGCCGUACUGACAGCCCGUAGUGGGGACAUGGCCUUCUGUGCCAUGAGUGAGGUCAUGGGCUGCAUGGCAACUAUGCCGCGUCAGACAGGGAUGUCCGCCCGGUACGCUGCAUUGUGGACAUGCUCUGCCCUAGAUUCGAGGGUGGCAGACAAUACUGUAGCCACACCCGUCUCGUCGCCAUAAUGUGGUGCAAACUUUGAGGGCGCGAGGGGCCGCCAGCCAGGAGUCGGCCCGUCUCAUGGCUUUCUUGUGAGGUCUGCCACCUCUAGCAGUCAGCCGCCUGGACCAGCCGGCCCUGAGAAGGCGGCACUUCAUCCUUGGGGCUUGAGGGGUGCAGCCAGCCCCAAUGUCUUGAAUCGCUAUGGGGAGCAGAUGAGGCUACCUGUGGUCGUUUACUCUGAUAGUAGUCCCCGAAGCUGCUGGGGUGCCGCUGUUGAGAAAGCGAGAAGCCUCAGCAGCUUCCUACUCUGAGUGAGCUGGUGAUCUUGUUCCAUCCAUCUUCCAAGGCGCCGGCUAUUAGGAGCCGGUGCGGCCAGGUGGACCACCUGAAGAUUUCGAAAUGUUGUGGCGGGAGCCGGGUGGCGCACCAGCCAGGCGGCAGGCUUGCCGCCCGCUACCUUCAUACCACGCGGCGCCAUCCAACCGGGCAGGCCUGCCAGCCCACCCGUGCGAGGGACAUCGCCGUAGGCUAGGGCCCGCCACUACCGGGCCUCGGCACACGCGUGGAUCCGGUGCCGCCGAGGCGAAUGGUUGGGAUUCCGCAGUGCAGUAACUAUACGCUGUUACUGCACUUUUAAACGAGGUCAUGGGGGUGUGGGCGCAGUUAAUCCCACGAACCCCAUGUUCUCGCCCCUCGGCUUCGUCGUCUAGGGAUAUAAAUAGGGGGAGGAGGGGGGUAGACGCAGGCGCAACGUCCUCUCCCCUUUUCCUUUGUCUCCUUGCUGCUGCCGCUGCACUCCCGCAUCUUCCCGAAGCGCCGCCGCAGCUCAUUAUUGCCGAGCGCGUCUCCCCCAUGGUGCUGCGGCUCCGCCCACUCGCCGUUGUUCCGUGCCUCCUUCAAACCCAAACGCCACGGCACGGGCUGGUGCUUGGGACGGUUCAAACGUCCAUGAGGACAGUAUCACUUUCCUCCACCAAACGCGGCCGCUGCUCGGCGAGAACUACGUACAAGCACGUCCUCCACCCGAAUCAGAGAUGUCGUCGGCGCUGCCGGAAGGCGAGCGCGUCAUCUUCCACUCGCACUUCAUACACGGACUCGGUCUGCCGACGAGUGACUUCCUCCGCGCCUUCCUCCAUUUCUACCGCCUCCAGCCACACCACCUGACGCCAAACACGGUGGUGCUGCUGUCGGCCUUCGUGACGCUCUGCGAAGGAUAUAUUGGCAUCCCCCCACCCUCGAGCCGUGGGGGGAAUUCUUCUACACCAAACUCGGCACCGCCACCAAGAACGAGGCGGCCUAGUGCGGCGCCUUCGUCGCGGUGCGGCGGCCGUGUCACAUCCUAGCUAGCCAUGCAUUAGAGUGUUGCAUCAUGUUUACUCUUUCAUCAGAAACUUGAAAUGGGGAUCUGUGAAACCCUCAGAAUCUUUUUGAAAAUGAUCGAAAUAAAAAUUUCUCCAAAAAGGUCCAAGAAAAAGCUCAUGUUGCUCUCUGAAAAUAUUGGACAGAGAUAAUAAUCAAACCAAUAUUUUUAAGAGCUCAUAGGUAUUUAUUUUGGGCAUUUGGAAUUAAUGCAUAAAUAUUUGCUUUGGAAAUAUAUUAAUCAUAUAUAUUAAUAUAUGUCCAAAUAUUAUGCCAUUUAUAAAGGAGCUCUGAAAUAAUAUAUCUAGCCCCUGCAAAAAUUGGCAUAAGUUAAAUAAAUGAUUUAAUAUUUUUUUUAAAUCAAAACAAAUGUCAGAAAUUAGAAAAACAGAAAUAAUUAACGGGAGGAGCUUACCUGGGCUCCUCCACUUUGCGGCCCAGCCAGCUGGCUGGCCCAGCCAGCAGCCGGCUCAGCCCACCUCCCUCCUCUGUCGUCUUCGUCCCGACAGAGGGAGGGGAGUGUGGCCGGCGCGCGCGCGCCACCGCGCCACGCCACCUCUCUCCUUGCCUGCCUGCCCUCCCCUCCUCGCCUCGAUGCCCCUGGACGACGCCACGCCUCUCCCCCUGCUCUCUCUCACUCUUCCCCCGGCUCUCCCUCCUCCCCUCGCUCUCUCUCUCACACGGCCGAACCCCCCGUCGCCGCCGUUCGCCAUAGCAGCCAUCUCCGGCCACCCCUCGCUUCCCCGACUAGCUCAGAAGCUCCGCCACGACCCCCUCUUCCUCCCCACCGCUCCACAGCUCCCCGGAAGCCCUGCAUCGCCGCCACGUCGCCGUUCCCCUCUUCGGGCUCCGACCAUCGUCGCCGUCGAAUUCGUCNNNNNNNNNNNNNNNNNNNNNNNNNNNNNNNNNNNNNNNNNNNNNNNNNNNNNNNNNNNNNNNNNNNNNNNNNNNNNNNNNNNNNNNNNNNNNNNNNNNNNNNNNNNNNNNNNNNNNNNNNNNNNNNNNNNNNNNNNNNNNNNNNNNNNNNNNNNNNNNNNNNNNNNNNNNNNNNNNNNNNNNNNNNNNNNNNNNNNNNNNNNNNNNNNNNNNNNNNNNNNNNNNNNNNNNNNNNNNNNNNNNNNNNNNNNNNNNNNNNNNNNNNNNNNNNNNNNNNNNNNNNNNNNNNNNNNNNNNNNNNNNNNNNNNNNNNNNNNNNNNNNNNNNNNNNNNNNNNNNNNNNNNNNNNNNNNNNNNNNNNNNNNNNNNNNNNNNNNNNNNNNNNNNNNGGUGAGCCCCCGGAUCGUUUCCCCCUUCUCCCCUGGUCUCUCCCGACCUCUAGGCCCUAGCCCCACCUUGGCCGAGAGCUCCACGCCGCCGGCGAUGUCGCCGUCGUGGCCACGGUCACCGUAGCACCCAACCGAGCACACUAUCGUGCUCCACACCUCACUAGGGGUACGCAGCACGCGCUAACGCCUCCCCAAACCCCCUGCAACACCGAUCCCGACCGCACCCGAACUCCGGCGGCCGCAGCCGAGCUCGCCGCCGUCGACUCCGGCCACCCCAGGCCCAGCCACCACCACCGUUCGACGCGCGGGAGCAAGAGCUUUCCAACGAGCCCAAGCACGGCCUCUCCCGUGCCCUAUAGCGCGAUUCCGCAUCGCGCCGCCGUCUCGGGCCUCGCCGGCGUUACGUCGCCGGUGGGUUUGACCCACUUUGACCAACGGCAGGACACCCCCUGAGUCCCUGACAGGUGGGCCCAGCCCUGUAGCUAAGUAGGAUUAGCGCUAACCACUGUUAGUUAACCCCCUGACACUGACUAGUGGGCCCCAGCGCCACUAAUUAGUAAUUAGGAUUAAAUUAACUCUGUUUAACCCCCCCUGUCACUGACGUGUGGGCCCCACACGUCAGGUUUGACUUCAGCCAGCCGCAGUUGACCACUGAUGUCAUGCUGACGUCAUGCUGGCGCAAUAAUUAUAAUUUCUGGAUUUAAUUUAAAUCAGGAAAUUCCAGAAUAUUAUUUAAACUUCAAAAAUUCAUAACUUUUAUUCUGUAACUCCAAAUUGGACAAAUUAUAUAUGAAAAAUGAUCAGAAAAAUCCAAUCUAUCCAUCUGUACUAUUUUCGUGCAUGAUCAAACAAGUUAAAUUGAUGUUUUAAGCAGAACAAGGAAAAGCACUUUAAAAGGCCAUGUUUGAGUUUGAAAUUUGAAUCUAUGAUUCAAAUUUGUUCAAACCCUUCUGGUUUUAGUUGCAUUAGCCCAACACACUCAUAUUGCCAUGUUUCAUGCAUGCAUCAUAUUGUUGCACAUUGUUUGGUGAUGCUUGUGUAUCGAUGUCCUUUGCGACAGGUUCUGCCUCCGAAGAGUACCGUGAUUACCCUAACGAAGAACCGUAUCAGUGCAUCGAACCAUCAGGCAAGCAACCAACCAUUUGAUCAUAUCGAUACAAUCCCAUGUUCUCGCUCCUGCUCUCUUUUACUGCAUUAAGACAACGCGUUUCAAACUGCUGUGUGCUACGGUAGUUGAACCCAUUUCCUUUGCAUGACCUGUCAUUGCCACAGUAACUAGAUGAAACCCACUAGCAUGUGUAGGAGUUGAUUGAGCCAUGUGUAUGUGUUGUUCCUACCUUGCUAUGCCUGCUAUGCUUAGAGUCGUGUCAGGUCUGGUUCAUCUGGGUGAUGGGCUAGAGUGAAAUGUUAAUGUCGGUAAUGAGAGUGGUGUGGUGAACACGAUUUGGUAAAGGUAUCGAUGAGAGGCCAUGUAGGAGUACAUGGUGGGUUGUUUCAUUGAAGCCGACCUUAAGCACUGAGAUCUGUAUAUGUGAUUUAAGAUACAGCUACUACCAUGCAUUGGGCCCUGAAAUAUGACCCCGCUCGACUUCUUAUUCACCCUAGCUCUCUGUCCAGGAGUUGCAAGUAGUUUCUGGUGUUUGUAGCCUACUGGAGGCCGUGGACAGCGCUGACCGUAGGGGUGGGCUGUGAUGCGGUAGGUAUGUGGCCGGGUGUACCGAAUACCCGUUAGGUAUCUCGGGAACCCUGUUCACAUCGUUCGGGGCCGUAUGGGAAACCUCGGCCGGACUCCCUGCGGAUGGAACCUGAAUAGGCGAUAAACCUGGACUAGAGGCUUAAGUGUUUAGGUAGGUCGUGGUCUACACCCACGUCGGCUUUCGCUUGAAGUCUGCUGAGCACAUGUCGUGUGCAGACGCUAAGUGGUGGAAACAUGUAUGAAGAAGUACACCCCUGCAGGGUUAACAUGAUCUAUUCGAAUAGCCGCGUCCGCGGUAAAGGACUACUUGGUUGCCUAUACAGUUCAUAGACAAGUAAAUGGAAACUACUAAAAGCCUCAAGAUAAGUGUGAGUGCCGAGGAUGGCUCUUCCGUAGGAAGACGGAGGUGGAUCCUCGGUAGUGUAUUGAAGUGGUGAGUAGUGGACUCGUGUGCGCAAAAACCAUUUCAAGUUGGAGUAUCGUAGGAUAGCCUAGCCAAGAGUCAAAGCUGGCUUGCUGCAAUAACUCCACCAACCCUUCUUGAUAAUAUGCAUGUAUGUAGGAUCUGAUGUAAGUCUUGCUGAGUACCUUUGUACUCAUGUUGCUAUAAUCUACAUUUUUACAGAAGACGCUGCAACCCCUUCUGAUGGGUUCUAUGUAGACGUUGACAUCAACGAGUAGGCUAAAGACCCAGGUGGUGACCCUGAGCUUGUGAUGGACCACGUAGUAUAGCUAGGCUUUCCAAGCCUCUUUUAUUUUACUAGUUGUCUGUACUCAGACAAGUUACUUCCACUGCUGGUUUGUAUGACUGUAUGACUUGUAUGUUGGGUCGUGAGACCCGUACCUUUGUGUAUGUUAUGUAUGGCUCCCUGAGCCUUAAAUAAAGUACUUGUGUCAUAGAGUCAUGUUGUGAUGCUUCGUUGUAUUUGCACAUAUCGAGCAUAUUGUGUGUAUGAUUGAAAUGCUUGGUAUGUGUGGGAUCUGACCAUCUAGUUGUUUAUCUUUAGUAGCCUCUCUUACCGGGAAAUGUCUCCUAGUGUUACCGCUGAGCCAUGGUAGCUUGCUACUGCUCUGGAACACUUAGGCUGGCCGGCAUGUGUCCUUCUUCGUUCCUGUGUCUGUCCCUUCGGGGAAAUGUCACGCUUUGAGUACCGGAGUCCUGUUAGCCCGCUACAGCCCGGUUUACCGGAGUCCUGUUAGCCCAGUGCUACAGCCCGGACCCACUUGCUGAUGACCGACACGUUCGAAGCUGGGUCAUGGACGCCUGUCCCUGUAAGUCUGUGCCACUUUGGGUUUAUGACUAGUCAUGUCAGCCCGGGCUCCUUAUCAUAUGGAUGCUAGCGACACUAUCAUAUACGUGAGCCAAAAGGCGCAAACGGUCCCGGGAAAAGGGUAAGACGACACCCGUGGGGAUACCGUGCGUGAGGCCGCAAAGUGAUAUGAGGUGUUACCGGCUAGAUCGAUGUGACAUCGAGUCGGGGUCCUGACAGGCCGGGUGCCGGGAACUGCUUCCCGGCCAUCAGCUUGACGCAAUCGGUUAAGAUGUGGCAGCGGUCUUACUUCUACUUGAAGAACGUCCACCCGGAGCAUGACUUUGUCAACCUGCCGGCUUAUAAAGCCGGCGCGCCAGCUGAACCCCGCACCAACUGGACCUUCAAGCAGAAGAUGCUCUCGGCCGCCUCCCUUGCUGCCAUCGCCCAGCUCAGGGAGAUGACGAAGUCGGAGGGCCUCAAGGAUUCGGACUUGUUGACUGCCUUCAUGGUGCGCCGGGUGCUCCCCCCUCCAAACCCGGCCUCACUUGAUCAGCCGGAUGAGCGAGCACCAAGACCCAUGCCGGAUGUGCACCAAGGAGAUGCCGGAGGCGGAGGUGGCCCGUUUGGUGAAGUUUAUCUCGUACUACAAGCUCUCGGAGGAAGAUGUAACGCCCCAAGACCAGAGCUUCCGAUGCCUUCCAUGGGUUCCGAGAUUCGUUGGUCUUUUGUUUGGUUCAUUGCUUUCAUCAUUGCAUCAUGUCAUCAUGCAACCCGUUUUAAAACUCAACCAAAAAAACCGUAUGGAUCUUCGAUCCAUUUAAAUCGAGGGAACUCACAUGGUGAUUCUCUUGAUAACAUAUCCUCCCGGUAUUAGGGAGCUAUAAUAAAUAUUCUAACACACUUGCAAAUUAUCCCAAUGCCUUUGUUCUCUUAAGUCUUGGACUCCAACUUGUUCAUAUAUUUGUUCAUCUUAUUCCGGUGCUCCACUAAAAAUCCAAACAUUUUGGACCACCCGUUAACCAAGUCCUAGUUCAAACCCAUUUGAAUUAAAUUCAAAUGAGUUUGAAUAACAACUUUCAAUCAUGUCUCUCCUAUUUUUCGUGGACCGUGCACAUUUUUAUGAGUCCGUAAAAAUUAUCCCCAUGCCUAGAUUCCACCGCUACCUUCGCUUUCUUUUCUUCCUCUUUUCUGUUCUGUUUUAAAAUGGGAAGGUGAGAAGAGAAGUGAGAAGAGAGAGACAGGUCGGCCAUUUACCUCUAAGCCCAUAGCCAGGCCUGCCCGUUUCCCACCUAACCCUAGGCCCAGCCUCUCCCCUCGCUACCCUAGCCUCGUUCGACCCCUCUCGUUCCCCUCCGCCGCCACCCACACACGCACACACAGAGCAAGGGAGAGCUCUGCUCGAUCCCCAUCUCCCCUCGACCCGACCCCCCCUCUCUCGAUCUCCUCCCUUGCGCCGCCAGCGAGCGCCCUCGCUCAGCCCGACCUCCUCGCUUGAUCCCCAUCUCUUCCUCCUGGCCAGCCGUGCCCCUCCAUGGCUUUCUGCCCGAACCACCAACCCGUGCCGCCUCCAUGCGCCUGGGCCGGCGACCUCCGCCUCCAGCCGUUGCCGCGAGCAAGCCGCUCCAGCCUCGUCGCCGUUGCCUCCACUUCACAUGAGUCGUGCCGGGAGCCUCUGCUUCGCGCACGUGCUCGUCCUGCAUCGCCUGACCACUCUUCGACCUGCCGCGGGGGCCACCUCCUUCACCGACGCCUCAAGCCACCGCCGGCUUCCCGCACCGCUACUGGGAACGGGUUUGCCGUCCACCCAACUCCGGCCUCUCAUGCUGCAGUCUCGUACGCAGUCCUUGUUGACCUUUGAGGCUUUGAUCCCCUGCCCGACGCCAAGACCGCAGCUCCAUGUCCUCGUGGACGCCAAGCUCUCUUUCAAGGACCUCCUCAAGACCAGGAACGCCGUGACCGAGACCGGCAAGUACCACCACGGCCUGCAGCCCCGCAUCACGCCCUGAACUACCAUGGGCAUUGACCACCUGCUGCGGCUUCGUCUCCCUCCAUUCCGCUGUUCUUCUGGAACCCGCGAAGACCCCGACGACCAUGACGGAGUUCGACUACACGGCUAUGACCUCAGAGUUGGACCGCAAGCGCCAAGUACCCCUCCGGCAAGACCAUGGACGAUCGAAAGACUACUGACCAAAGACGCAAGUACCACUCCGAACCAUGUACGACUACCAAACAAGGUGUAUCGCCAGGUUCCAUUCUUGAAGAUUUUGUCAAGUUCCCCUGGUUUCAGCAAACACCACCCCGCAAGCGCCAAGUACCACGACGGACCUCGAAGGGUACGGGUUCGACAAGUCCGAUGGCGCGCUUGUAUAACUACAUUGUCGAGACCGAGACCGGCAAGAUCGACUGCAUGAAACUGCCAAGUGCCUCGAUGCUGCAUAAAUUUCUUCUUGAACGUGUACGACUAUGUUGAUUCAUCAAGACCCUCGUGAACGACUACCGAUGACCCUCCAAGUUCGUCCAUGAUUGCUAUGUACCACUACCAUUGACGUGAACCACCACUUCCACUACGGCAUGAGUACAGCUACUACCACUAUGAAUGUGGCGAGAACACCUACUUCUGUCCACGUCCCUUCGAACCCGAACUGUCCCGGACCGCGCACUUCGAAGGUAUAACCCCGAGAUGACCGUCCGAGAAUGAUUGCUUGUGUUGUAUGAGAUGGUCAGGGUUGCACCAUAUCUGGGUUGUUCCUUGCAAGUUCCUCGUUGCCUUGACGUCGACAUGUGGGAACCCGGUAUCCGGGAGCACACCACCGUUCAUCGCAUGACACGCUCCCGUCACAUCUUCUUUUGCAUUGAUAUCUCAAUCGAGUUACCGGAACCGGAAUGUUGCCAUGGCACCAUUUUCGUUGUCGGUGUCGUGGCACCCCUUUCACUUCUGCCACGAUGAGAAAUGCCUCAUAUCUUAUCAUGUCAACAUUUUCUUAAAAUUGCAUAAACUUGCACAUGUCAUCCACAUCAUGUUAAUAACAUCAGGAAUGUUUAAAUUGUUGUUUGCUUUAAUUUUCUAAAUGCAUAGGGGGUUUUACCGAAAUUGUUGUUGUUGAUGUUUCCGGCCUCAUUUAAAAUGCCUAACUAUGUUUUCUACUCAUGUUUCACCUCUUGCCAUGUUGCAGGGGAAGAUGAAGUUUGUUCCAUGUUUGGAACAUGGAUAUGUUGGGAUAUCACAAUAUCUCUUAUUUAUUUAAUGCAUCUAUAUACUUGGUAAAGGGUGGAAGGCUCGGCCUUAUGCCUGGUGUUUUGUUCCACUCUUAUCGCCCUAGUUACGGUCAUACCGGUGUUAUGUUCCGUGAUUUUGCGUUCCUUACACGGUUGGGUGUUAUGGGGACCCCUUGACAGUUUGCUUUGAAUAAAACUCCUCCAGCAAGGCCCAACCUUGGUUUUACCAUUUGCCUCACCACCACCUACUUUUCCCUUGGGAGUCACUCUCCCGAGGGUCAUCUUUAUUUUAACCCCCCCGGGCCAGUGCUUGUCUCAGUGUUGGUUCGAACGGGACAGCCUGUGGGGCCACCCCGGGGAAAUUCGAGGGAUGGUUUUACUCGUAGCUUGACCUAUCCGGUGUUGCCCUGAGAACGAGAUAUGUGCAGCUCCUAUCGGGAUGUCGGCGCAUCGGGCAGCUUUGCUGGUCUUGUUUUACCAUUGUCAAAAUGUCUUGUAACCGGGAUUCCGAGAUUGAUCGGGUCUUCUCGGGAGAAGGAAUAUCCUUCGUUGACCGUGAGAGCUUGUGAUGGGAUAAGUUGGGACACCCCUGCAGGGUUUUGAACUUUGGAAAGAUGUGCCCGCGGUUAUGGGCAGAUGGGAAUUUGUUAAUGUCCGGUUGUAGAGAACUUGACACUUAACUUAAUUAAAAUACACCAACCGCGUGUGUAGCCAUGAUGGUCUCUUUCCGGCGGAGUUCGGGAAGUGAACACGGUGUUGGAGUUAUGCUUGAACGUAAGUAGUUUCAGGAUCACUUCUUGAUCACUUUUAGUUCACGACCGUGCUUUGCUUCUCUUCUUGCUCUCAUUUGCGUAAGUUAGCCACCAGAUAUGCUAGUGCUUGCUGCAGUUCCACCUCACUACCCUUUCCUACCCAUAAGCUUACAUAGUCUUGAUCUCGCGGGUGUGAGAUUGCUGAGUCACCGUGACUCACAGAUUACCUCAAACAGUUGCAGGUGCCAAUGAUAACCGUGCAGGUGAUGCAACCGAGCUGAAGGAGGAGCUUGAUGAAGAUCAUGUUCGUUGUGUUGUUUCAUUUCCAGUUGAUCAGUAGUGGAGCCCAGUCGGGGCGAUCGGGGACCUAGAGCAAUAGGGGUGGUCUUUCUUUAUUUUGGUUCCGUAGUCGGACCUUGAUUGUAUUAUGGAUGAUGUAAUGCUAUAUUUAUGUAUUGUGUGAAGUGGUGAUUGUAAGCCAACUCUUUAUCCCUUUCUUAUUCAGUACAUGGGAUGUGUAAAGAUUACCCCUCUUGCGACAUGCCUACAAUGCGGUUAUGCCUCUAAGUCAUGCUCCGACACGUGGGAGAUAUAGCCGCAUUGUGGGUGUGACAAGUUUGGUAAUUAGAGCCUUCCCCGACUUAGGAGCCCCCUGCUUGAUCGAAUCGCUGGCGUUGUUGAGUCUAGAAAAAUGUUUGUGUCUUUUAGGAUUAUAUAUAUCGGAGAGUAGGAUUCUUUUUACUCCUCAGUCCCUUCGCCGCUCUGGUGAGGCAUCGUGAUGUAGCGUUUUGACUCUUCUCUUCUCAAAUUUCACUAAAAAAAUUUAGGAUCACGCGGGUAUCUUGGAAUCGUUCCGAUGGUUUUGUGACAUUAACAUUGUUCUUGGUGCCUCCUGACAUUUAGGGGUUGUGGCAGUGUCCCGGGGAGUUGAGCUCUGAGGUGUUGUCGUCACAAUUUUAUCGUUGCAGUUCUAGAAUACCUGAGUUUCGCUGACAUCGAAAAUAUCUUUUAUGCAGUUGUUGGUGAGAUAACCUCAACGCCACCCAGUACUAGGGCGGGAGUUCGGGAGUAUUGCCAUAACUUGUAUAACAGAUGCUUUUCGAAGGUUGAGGUAAAUGAUUUCCGAUGGUUUCUUGGUUAUGUGUUGAAGGAUGGAUACAGCUGGAUGUAGGAUUUGCUAGUUUUGGGUGAGAUAUUAUGCUUCCCCUGUAUCCCCAACACCUGAUUGCAUAACCAGAAAGUUUCGGGAGUUUAUAAGUGGGAAUUCAAGUAUAUCGUAGGAUAUCUUCCCAACAGACACAUGAUAUGAUAUGGGAUCUAUCAUAUGUUUGUUUCCGGCUUAUUUUGCAAGUCAAUCCUUUGUUUUGUUUUGAGUUGUGGUAUUCGAGUUGCUUCAAUGCCAAGUGUUGAUUCCAUACCUUUCCUAAGCGCUGUUCUCAUGUUCCUAUGUGAAUACUUGUCCUUCUUGAUCAUCGAGUUUGUCAUUUCUAUUUCAUCUCAACCGGUGAGCUUCCCUUCAAGUGGAUCCGUUCAUUUUCAACAUCCGCAAGACCAACUCUAAGUAUUCUCAACGGUGUUUGUUUCAUUCGUCCCAAAUUGUCUUUGUUUUUCCCGCCCUCCCACCCUUUUCCUUCAAGGAUUCAGAUUUCUUAAUCAAGUAUCCAUCUUAUUGAUGUGAAGGCUCUUCAUUAUUUUGCUUCAAUGUUCUUAUCCGGUGAUUCUCAUGAAGUUACUAAUGGAGCUUCAAGUUCAUCAUUCUUCUAUCUUUUUAUUCUCCAGUGGAUUAAAUUCAAGCUUUGGUUUUGAGCAUAGUCCUUUUCUUUUGCCCAAUGCUUUUCUAAUGCCGGUGCACCUCAUAAUCAUCCACUCCUUGCUAUUCAUUUGUUCUGGAAUGCUGAAGAUAUCUCAAAAGACUCGCCUUGUCAAUCAAGAUCAGUUCAACCUAUUUCGAGGUUGUUACCUCAUUCUAGCCAUUUAAUUCAACCGGCGCAAUCUUCCUUUUAAAUUGUUCGAAGGUGUAUCUUUUGAGUGGGCCCUAACCCAGAGGUCUUUUCCCAGGAUCUUACCUGACUCUUCUAAUCUUUCCGGAGUGAUUCUCAAAUCUUUCAAAGUUUGACGUAAGAAUGUUUUGUUAUCAGUCAAAUGUCCUUCUCUAAGAUCUUUCAAAUUCUUACAUGUUGGUUCAACCUUUCUAUUAGUCAUCCCGGAGUAUCUCUACAACUCAUGCUGGUCUUUCUCGUCGUCAUUCUCUGCAUUUGAAGACCGAAGAAGUGUUUCCUCUAAAUGUUGUGCUUUCUCUUGAAGAUUCUCAGUUCAAGCUUGAUGCCAUCCUCUCAUAAUUGUUUUUUGAUUGUGAGAAUUCUUUUCAACCAUCCGGAGCAAUUCAGGAGUAUUUUCAGUUUGAUUCAUCCAAAGGCGAUCAUCUCAGAAUUAUCCAUUCCAGCUUUCAGCUCUCAUUCUCGAAUUCUUCCGGUGCAUCAUCAAGUAUUCUCUAAUCAGCUCGUGAUCUAUUCGUUCACUUGCAUCUAAAUUCUCUCAAGCAUCUUCGUUCAUCUGCUAAUUCUUCCCGGUGUUUCUUUAUUUUUUCUUCGUGCUUUUUCAAUCCUACCGGUGGUUCGUUGAAGACCUUCCCAAGUUUAUGUUAUAUCUCUCUUAAUCCUAUCUAUGAGAAUAAGCUAUAUGCAAUCUAUUGCUUGCCAUUAAUUUAAUUGGUGAGGGAUACACAUAAUGUAAUUCUUAUUCUUGUUUCAUCCAAGUGAUCAAAUUCGUGCCUUCCGGAGUAGUUCAUCAUAUCACAUUCUCGGUUCGAGAUGCUUUAUCUUUUUCUUUUCCAAGAGUUCUAAGCUAUCACAAUUAUAUCACCAUGGAGAUUCAUCUAAAUCAUUGCAAGGAUUCACCUUCUGUUUCAACUUCAAUUUCCUUAUAUCAUCCUUUUAUGACCGGAGUUCUUCAGGCAGGCUCUACAUGAUGGCUCAUCAAGUAUUUAAUUCCUUCUCGAAGUGUUCAUCGAGAUGCUUUUCAGAGGAGCUCAAGCAUUCUUCAUCUUGCAUUUCAAAGUUCAAUCCCUUCUUCCUUAUAUUUUGAGGUAGUGUUAUGUUAUUCUUGAUAAUUUCCCUUCAUGUUUCACGAUUCACAAGUUAUCAAGAAUUAGAUAUUUUAAUCCAUCAAUCUCUUCAUUGGAGUUAUCUUGGGUUAUAUUUCACCUAAAGCUUUCCUUAAGGAUUCUUGCUAUUUAUGGCGCUCAUGAAUGACCCAAGUUCUUCAUUUAUCCUUCCGGUGAAAUAAGCUUCUCGUAUUCUUGUUGAUAUCAAUCCAAUCUAUCAUUUCUGUUAAUGGCAGAAUUUCACCUCAUAAUUUUGAGAUGUUUUCCAUAAGCCCAAAACAAGCUUACUCUUCUCGUUGUUGAUAAUCCAACAACUCCGUUCUAGCAUUUGUUGAAAGUGUGCUCUCUCAAGAUCUUGUUUCCUCCGAUCAUUCCAUUCCAUUCUUUCAUUUCUUCCGGAGGCAUUGUGAUGUUGCUCUCUUCUCUCAUAAUCUCCAGUUGUGAGGAUCGUGUUUUAUUUCUUUCUUAUCCAUUUAACCGGAGUGUUGUGUUUUUCAUCCGAGUUCUCUUAUCUUAUCAAGUUUUGCCUCCCUUCUCAGCCAGAGUGCUGUCCGAAUUUGUUCUUCCUUGUUCCUCUUUUAUAACGGAGUGUUUGCAACUUUGUUCAUCUCCGUUCUAUUGUUUUCUCGAAAUUGAUUAACCUAUCAAGGUUCUUUGGCUUCACUCGUUUGUCCAAGAAGCAACUUAGUUUUACCUCUUAUCUUCCUCUUCCUUUUCCCUCCGGUGCCAUCCUAGAUCUCGGGACGAGAUUCUCUCGUAGUGGUGGAGUGUUGUAACGCCCCAAGACCGGAGCUUCAGAUGCCUUCCAUGGGUUCCGAGAUUCAUUGGUGUUUUGUUUGGUUCGUUGCUUUCACCAUUGCAUCAUGUGCAUUGCAUCAUGUUAUCAUGCAACCCAUUUUAAAACUCAACCAAAAAACUGUAUGGAUCUUCGAUCCAUUUAAAUCGAGGGAAUUCACAUGGUGAUUCUCUUUAUAACAUAUCCUCCCGAUAUUAGAGAGCUAUAAUAAAUAUUCUAACACACUUGCAAAUUAUCCCAAUGCCUUUGUUCUCUUAAGUCUUGGACUCCAACCUUGUCAUAUAUUUGUUCAUCUUAUUCCGGUCCUCCACCAAAAAUCUGAACAUUUUGGACCACCCGUUAACCAAGUCCUAGUUCAAACCCAUUUGAAUUAAAUUCAAUUGAGUUUGAAUUACAUCUUUCAAUCAUGUCUCUCCUAUUUUUCCUGGACUGUGCACAUUUUUACGAGUCCGUAAAUAUUAUCCCCAUGCGUAGAUUCCACAGCUACCUUCUCUUUCUUUUCUUCCUCUUUUAUGUUUUGUUUUAAAAUGGGAAGGUGAGAAGAGAAGUGAGAAGAGAGAGCCAGGCCGGCCCAUUUACCUCUAAGCCCAUAGCCAGGCCUGCCCGUUUCCCACCUAACCCUAGGCCCAGCCUCUCCCCUUGCUACCCUAGCCUCGUUCGACCCCUCUCAUUCCCCUCCGCCGCCACCCACACACGCACGCAUAGAGCAAGGGAGAGCUCUGCUCGAUCCCCAUCUACCAUUGACCCGAUCCCCCCUUUGUCGAUCUCCUCCCUCGCGCCGCCAGCGAGCGCCCUCGCUCAGCCCGACCUCCUCGCUCGAUCCCCAUCUCUUCCUCCUGGCCAGCCGUGCGCCUCCAUGGCCUUCUGCCCGAACCAACAACCCGCGCCACCUCCAUGCGCCUGCGCCGGCGACCUCCGCCUCCAGCCGUUGCCGGCGAGCAAGUCGCUCGAGCCUCAUCGUUGUUGCCUCCGCUUCACAUGAGUCACGCCGGGAGCCUCUACUUCAUGCAUCUGCUCGUCCUGCAUCGCCUGACCACUCUUCGACCUGCCGCGGGGGCCGCCUCCUUCACCGACGCCUCAAGCCACCGCCGGCUUCCCGCACCGCUGCCGGGAACGGGUUUGUCGUCCGCCCAACUCCGGCCUCUCCUGUUGCAGUCUCGGACGUAGUCCUCUCAUUGACCUUCGAGGCUUCGAUCCCCUGCCCGACGCCAAGACCGUAGCUCCAUGUCGCCGUGGACGCCAAGCUCUCUUUCGACCAGGAAUGCCGUCACCGAAACCGGCAAUUACCACCACGGCCUGCAGCCCCGCACCACGCCCAGAACUGCCAUGGGUGUUGACCACCCGCUGCGGCUUCGUCACCCUCCAUUCCGCUGUUGUUCUGGAACCCGCCAAGACCCCGACGACCAUGACGGAGUUCGACUACAUGGCUAUGACCUCGGAGUUGGACCGCAAGCGCCAAGUAUGACUACGUGGAUUCGUCAAGACCCUCGUGAACGACUACCGAUGACCCUCCAAGUUUGUCCAUGAUUGCUAUGUACCACUACCAUUGACGUGAACUACCACUUCCACUACGGCAUGAGUACAACUACUACCACUACGAAUGUGGCGAGAACGCCUACUUCCGUCCACGUCCCUUCGAACCCGAACUGUCUAGUUACCGGAACCGGAAUGUUGCCAUGGCACCAUUUUCGUUAUCGUUGUCGUGGCACCCCUUUCGUUUCCGCCACGAUGACAAAUGCCUCAUAUAUUAUCAUGUCAACAUUUUCUUAAAAUUGCAUAAACUUGCACAUGUCAUCUGCAUCAUGUUAAUAACAUCAGGAAUGUUUAAAUUGUUGUUUGCUUUAAUUUGCUAAAUGCAUAUGGGGUUUUACCGGAAUUGUUGUUGUUGCUGUUUCCAGCCUCAUUUAAAAUGCAUAACUAUGUUUUCUAGUCAUGUUUCACCUCUUGACAUGUUUAACAACAUUUAAUAUUGUUGGGUACGUAAACGAGAGAGAACUAAAUAGGUCACAUGGUGUUUCGUCAAUAUGCAACGGAGUUGCAUAUUGAGCUCCACUUAAUUUGUAGGAUUUGUUGUGCAUUUUGCCAUCCAUGCCUCAUUAAACCGGACAUGCAUCAUACUUGUUUGUGUAUCAUGCCAUGUUUAUGUGAUGGUUGCUUACCAUGUUGUUUUCUUCUUUCCGGUGUUGCUUCUUCGGGUUAGUUCCGAUAACGUCGCGUUUGUGAGGAUCCGUUCGACUCCGUCCGUGUGUCUUCUUCAUGGACUCGUUCUUCUUCCUUGCGGUAUCUCACGCAAGAUGACCAUACCCUCGAAAUCAUUUCUAUCUUUGCUUGCUAGUUGCUCGAUCUAUUGCUAUGCCGCGUUACCUACCACUCGCUAUAUCAUGCCUCCCAUAUUGCCAUGUCAAGCCUCUAACCCACCUUGUCCUAGGAAACCGUUGUUUGCCUAUGUUACCGCUUUGCUCAGCCCCUCUUGUAGCGUUGUUAGUUGUAGGUGAAGAUGAAGUUUGUUCCAUGUUUGGAACAUGGAUAUGUUGGGAUAUCACAAUAUCUCUUAUUUAUUUAAUGCAUCUAUAUACUUGGUAAAGGGUGGAAGGCUCGGCCAUAUGCCUAGUGUUUUGUUCCACUCUUGCCGCCCUAGUUCCCGUCAUACUGGUGUUAUGUUCCUUGAUUUUGCGUUCCUUACAUGGUUGGGUGUUAUGGGGACCCAUUGACUUUGAAUAAAACUCCUCCAGCAAGGCCCAACCUUGGUUUUAACCCCCCGGGCCACCACCACCUACUUUUCCCUUGGGAGUCGCUCUCUCGAGGGUCAUCUUUAUUUUAACCCCCCGGGCCAGUGCUUGUCUGAGUGUUGGUUCGAACCGGGCAGCCUGCAGGGCCACCUCGGGGAAACUCGAGGGCUGGUUUUACUCGUAGCUUGACCUAUCCGAUGUUUCCCUGAGAACGAGAUAUGUGCAGAUCCUAUCGGGAUGUGGGCGCAUCGGGCGGCUUGCUGGUCUUGUUUUACCAUUGUAGAAAUAAAGAUGGAAUGAAGGCCCUACCACCGCACCACCUCAGCUGCCUGCCUAACUACAUGGCGCUGCAUGUAACGCUGGCCUGGGCGCGUGUCGAAGCGAGGCGGAGCGGCGACGGACGGGACGGGCCUCAUUCCCGUCCCCGAUAAAGCUAGUUGACACCUACGUAGCGCAUUUAAUGCACUUUGUCCCGUAAUGCCGUGUGAUAAGCUCGCGCACUGUUGGCCUUUCAACCUCCUGUAUGCCACUGUGGCAACCCCUUUUUUCUAUAAAAGGAGGCCCGAGGCGACCAGGAGAGGGAUUCGGAUUUUUGGAACGACACAACCACCGUAGCUAGUUCAAAAAGCUCAAGAACACUCAAUACAUCCACCAAAGAAGGACUAGGGUUUUACGCAUCCUCGCGGCCCGAACCUGGGUAAAUGAUCUGUGUGCUUGCUACUAAACCUGCUCUUCUCACAACCCCGCGCCCGCCGACCGUAGAAGGGAUCCUAGUGAUCCCAUAGGUGUCGUUCACCAUCGACAUCUUUGGCGCGCCAGGUAGGGGCACGUAGUUGUGAGAAUCUGGUUUAGCGGUCAGCUUAGCAGUUUCUCGUGGCCACGACUUUUGGAGAAGAAGACGGCCAAGAGAACGACGCCGCCUGCAAGGGCGAAUGACGUCGGUGCGGCAACAGGAAAGCUAAGUCAUACGAAACUUUAAGCAAUCUCCUUUUUAUAUAUGAGGUUAUUGUCCUCGAAGGUCUUGCCCUAUGUAUGAAAGCCUACACAGAAAGGGGCCCUUCCGCAAUUGGCAACGCCCUUGUUCUGUUUCGAGUCUGCUCAACAGCUCAAGCAGCCGCGUCGAGAUUGGCAGGGUAGCCUUCGCAAUUGGCAACGCUCUCGAUGCUGACUCGAGUCAAGCUUAAUAGUUCGAGUGGCCGCAUUGAGAGCAGUAAGGUGGUUCACUCGGCAGCAAGCACACCCGGCAGGUAAUUGGGGACCGUCCUCAAGUUUCCGCCCUGGGUUUAUGCGCCGUCAAGCCUACCUGUUUAAUGUAGGGAAAACAUACAAAGGGAAGAUCGAACAGGAAGAUAACAUGCAUCGUACCAAAAGUGUUGCAGAGUUAUAUUACAUCAAUUGUUACUGCAGUUCUAACUAAAGAUAAAAACUGUGUUGGUCAUGAACCUGAAGCGACAGUGGGAGAUGGGGUGCCUAAUCUUGGCACUGGCCCUUUAUCCUCUCAAUUCCACUGAUGCAGCUGAUGAUGGGCUUGAUACGCUCCUUGAGCGCCGUGAGGUCCACACUCGCUGACAAGCUGUCUAGCGCGGCAUAGAAGUCAAGGUUGGGGUUCCAGUAUGCCAUCUUGGUGAGAACAUUGGUCAUGGGGCCCUGGCAAAGCCUCCGGGCCUCAUCGGCCAGCGAGGCAGCCCGCUUGGUAUGAAGCCGCUCCAAGGCACCGACAACCGUCUCAAAGAACAGGGUCAGGCUGUAGUUGGUGCUCAAGUUUGGCUCCAGGGCGUAGGUCACAUCUGGCAUCCCCAUGGUAGCCAGCUACAUGCUGGCCUUGUUGGCAACGGCGGCGAGGUGAUUGAGCCAGCAGUUCUCGCCCUCCAUGUGCUCCUUGUGGGUGAGGGUGUCGUUCUUCCACAGCUGCUUCUCGGUCUCCAGAUUCUUGGUCAAGGUCUCCUCCCGGGCCUUGCUCUCCGACAACAUCCCCUCGAGACCCUCCAGCUUCAGCUUGAGGUCUUUCAUGGAUUUGUUGGCCUCGAAGAGCUCCAUAGCCUUGCCGAGGACUGCACCCUGCGCCUCCGUCAGAGCGCUGUUGAGCGUGUCCUUCUCCUUUGACAGUGUCAGGACCUGGUUUUUUAGCCCGUCCCGCUCCACCUCCAGGUCCUUCAUCUUGUCGGCAUGAACCUGAGCCUGGGCAUUGAGUGCCUCCAUGUGCCUUUGCUCCAGCUCCUGGGUCCGCUCCACGACGAGCUUCUCCACCUCCUCAUCCUUGUCGUGGAUCAUUGCGGCAAGCUUCUCCUCAUGCGCGGCAAGGUCCUCCUCCUAGGAGUUCAGCGCGGCCUGGUGCUAGGCUCGAGCGGCCUCGGCUGCGGCCGCCAUGUUCUCCGCCGUCUCUGGGCCUUCUCAAUGCCGGCCCGCUUCAUGGUGCGCUCCACCUCGUGCUUGGACAGCUCAUCCUGGGCGGCCUGCAGCUCCUCACAAGCUUGGCGGCACCAAGUCUGUGUCUCGGCGACACGUACCUUGAGGUCCGCCUCCGCCUUGUCCACCGUUGCCGUCCUGGACUUGGCCCUGUCCAGGCGGGCACGAUGGAGCACCUAGAGCUUCCGGAAGUUGCCACCCAUGGCCUAGAGAAGCCGCUCCUCCUAAGAACCAUUGCCACCGAUGCUCGGCUCCUCAACAACCUCGAGCCCGGCGGCGGCAAGCACCUCUUCGUCGAACACCUCUCCCUCGAUGGGCGCCCUGGAGCUCGACAACCCUGGUAGGUGGACGAAAAUAUUGUCGCUCACCCUUAGGUACCUGCCAGAGCCAGAGGCAGCAGCGGAGGAAGGCUAGUCAUCCACCACCUCCUCGUCGGCAGUGGCCUUGCCGGGCUCCCCGGUGGGCCCCUUGGUGGCGUCGUCUGCAGCACCCCUGGCGGCCUCCUCGACGGCGAUCUUGUCAGCCUCCGCUGCUGCGUCCUCGGCAACAUCCUCGAUGAUGGUGUCUAUGUCCUCCGGAUCCACCGAAGAAGGACCUGGAUACCGAGGAGUGGAUAAGGCGAAGCCAAGAACAGAAAAGGAAAAGGCAGGGAUGGAAGGCAAGUGGCUUACCCGUGCCGGGCUGGGAAGCAGAGGUCCCCUACCUGCCAACAUUUGGCGCCGAGGCGAAGCCACCAGCGCCUGAGUUCUCCUCCUACUCCGUGUGCAUGGGCUCGGUGCUUGGCGCCCUUGCCGGAGACGCCCCUUGGGGCGGCGUGGUCGAUCGGGGCAGCAUGUUGGGGGUAGCCCUAUGCGGCUCCUCCUGCUGCUGGCCUCCUCCUGCAAUCACGACAAGGUCAGCACCAAGGGAUCGUGCCCCCAACGCACGUCGAUGGGGAGUGAGUGGCGAACUUACGCUUGGGGGCUGCUGUUUGGACUGCUCACCACCAAGCCGAAGUAACUAUUUCGAACAGGCUCAGUUGGCCAUAACCGGGUUAUGACGUUCUUGAUGGUAGCACCGGAUAUCCUAUGAAGCUCAGCCCACUGGGACAUCUGCUCAUUUAGCAACCAGGGGCGCUUCGACGCGCUGAAUUGUGACAAGAAAAGCUUCUCCGUUGCAUACCACACUCGCGCCUGGCAAAACCGCGCCGCAUCGGAAGAACUCUUUGACAAAUCUAAAAACUCGUCCGGAGAACUCCACAAUUGGUUAAGCUGAGCAUAGUUCUGAUCAUCGAACUUAGUAUGUAGCAAAAAUGGCUCACCAGCCGCAAUCUCCCUAGCUUGCCAGAUCUCCUCACGGGCGGCUCUAGAUUCAGACCGCGCUUCUCUCGCCUCUCGUAAGGCCUUGUCAACUUCAGUUGUUUUGGCUUCAUUCUCCUUCUCAAGGAGUUCACAGCGGCUAGCAACAUUUUUUAGUUCGAGCGCCAUCGUGGAUAUCUUCUGCUCGUCUUGACGCCGAGCAGCUCGUUUGGCUUUUAACUCAACCGGUGCAUUUUUGGCAGCCGCAUUACUACACCAGGCCUGCUCCUUGGCCCAGGCCAGCUCCGCCCGAAGAAUUUCAAUGGCGACAGCACCAUCUGUAGCCAUGCAUAUUACAAUAUAUAAAUUUCAGCAUCAUGCUUAUAUGACAAAAAUGUAUGUGAAGGGACUGCCCCGAAUACAUACCUUGCGAUUCGUCAAGACGCAUAUUGAUUAACGCAAUGUCAUCCCCGGCCCUAUCAAGCUUCCGUUGCAGCUCGGCAAUAUCCAUAGUCUGGUAAGUAGCCAGGGGGGAAGCAGCCUGUGUUCAAGUUAAUCAGAUUAGUCCUUGAAUAUUUCUUCUUGAUCCUCCGUUCGCCUCCCAUGGGAAGCCAACCCGAGUCUCAGGGGCUACUAUCGAUACACAGGUUUAUUUUGCGAAUAAAACACAAUUGGACAUAUUACAGUACAAACCUUGAAGCCUCUUAGUAGGCUCGCAAAGGCCUCAUCCGAUACGCUCUUCGCGGACUGGACCUUUUCAACCACCGUGCCCAUUAGGGUACGAUGUUCCUCUGAGACGGACGCCUGCCGCAGCAUGUUCGUCAAGAUGUCGGGCGCCUCUGGGUCUCCGGAGGCUGCCAUAGGAGUACGGCCACCCUUUGAAGGGAACCGUUCAUACGUAUCCGGCUGUAUAUCGGAUUGUCCGGAGCCCUCAUUGUUGUUCCCCGGACCCUGGUCCAUCGAAGUAUCACCUUUGGGUAAUGUCUUCAUCAUCCCUUGCACCACUUGUUGGUUGGGGGAGACCCUCCACGACGACAGCUCUAAGUCGUCCGCCCUAUUGGAAGGAGAGGCCGGUGGGGGCGUCUCACUUUCCAUCAUCACUGGGAGAAGGUCCCCCGAGGAAGAAGAUUGUUGAGGAAGACUACGUGCUGAGCUGCAAAAACAAAAAAUAUAUAUUCCAGGCAUUAUAAGAAAGGAACGGGACAUGUUUAAAACAGCCUUGUUCACUUACGAUUUGGCCUGAGGCUUGUCCUCGUCAUGAUACUGCGCUUCGACGUCCUCCAAGCCCGAGCCACCCACCUGAGGCAUCUUGCCUCGCUUAGGGGCCUGCUUCUCCCAAUCUUCGGAAGCGGCCCUUCUCUUCCUAGGAGGAGAGGAGACAGUGCCCCCCUUCACUUUUGUCUUUGGAUGAGGGGAUUUUCAUUCCUUCGGACACAAUGUACGAUGCACCCUUGAAAUAGGUGGCAUAUUUGGUCCUCUCACUCUCUGCCUCACCCUCCUUCACAUGCAUCUGGUAUGGUGCCAGGGCCAGCAUCCUUGUUAGAACAGGAUUCGCCUUCUUUGUCCAGCCCUAGAAGAAGAUAGCUUGCUCAGUACCAUAUUACGGUAUGCAUAAUUACAAAGUGUUCGGGAGCCGAGUGCUUACCCGGGUAUCCAGACGGUUGCAGAUAAGGCCAGCCUCUUCGGUAGUGUCCGGCCAAUGUUCCAGCUUCCCGAAAACUAACUUCCACAUCCCUUUGUGUGUGGUGCCAAAGAAGUGUUGGAGGGUUUGUGGUCCUUCUGGAUUAAGCUCCCACAUACGGCGAGACCUGCGCUGGCAUGGCAGGAUUCGGCGAACUAACAUCACUUGGAUCAUGUUGACAAGAUCAACGUCUCUCUCGAGGAGGUUCGGAUGUGGCUCUUUAAAGUCUGCACUUCAUCAACUGAUCCCCAGUCCAGCCCCUUGUUGACCCCUGAUGCAAGCUAUAAUGGUGGGCCAGGACGGAAUGUGGGUGCAGCUACCCACUUGGUGCUGCGGGGCUACAUAAUGUAAAAUGUCACAUCCCUGCUUUCCUGUUAUGCAUUAGGGUUGGUUGAACUUGUGCCUCAUGCUUAAAUUUCUUUUAAAUUUGAAAUGGGAGCUAAUCAACCCCAACACCACCCUGAAAAUGCUAAAUUCCAACAAUUGGAAUUUCAAUGAACCCAAAAUGCCCUUCAUAAAAGCCCACCAUUUUUGGUUCUGGUUUAAACCUCUGCCAAAAAUGGUUCUACAAUUUAUGGGGCCAUUUUGGAUUUUUGAACCAAGUCAUAAGUAUUUGAAUUUGGGCAUUUUAAAUCUUAUAAAUAUUUUAAAGUGCUCAAAUAAUCUUGGAAGCAUUUUUAGGCAGUUGAGAAUAUUCUCAAAUGUGCCUCUGAAUAUUUCCAGAGUUUUUGGAAAUGAAAUAGUAUUUAUUCUAUUUCAAAACACAAUACAGAAAAUAAUUAAAGAGAAACAGAAAAUAGUGCAGAGCACUUACAUGAGCCCACCUGGCCGGCCCACCUAGCAGCCCAGCCCACCUGCUAUGCCAGCGAGCUGCUUGCUCUCGCCAGCACAGGCAGGCAGGUGCUCGACGAUGAGCACAUCAUGCUUGCCACGCAGCUGCCCGCCGCCCAGCCGCUCCCCUCAUCGACCUGUCGCCCUGGGACGAACCCUCUCUCUCUCUCUGAGCUCCCAGACACACUCGCUCUCUCUCUCUCUCUGGUUCCCUCUCUCGCCCUCCCCGACGUUGUCUGAGACGUCACAGUCGCCGCCGCUCGCCGCAGCCGCGUCCAAUGCCGUCCCCACGCCCUGUCACCGUGUCUGGACGGUUCAUCAUCGUCGACUAUGUCGACCAGCCGAGCUGCACGAUGCCGGAGCCCCUGCAUCAUCCCCACCAUCGUCAUCUUCAACCUUCGGCCGCUAUCGAUUGUCGUCGUCGAUCCUCCGCACCCGAGCUUCCCCGAGCACACUGACCCUCCCUGCGGCUUCUCUGUGAGCUGCUGAACCUCCCCGUGCUUUUCGUUUCACCCCUAGAACACCGUAGAUGCCGCGCCUCUUGUGCCCGAAUGCGCUGCCGCCUGACCACGUCGCCGGCGAUGCUCCGGGGAACAUUUGGUCACAGGCUUGUGCCCGUCACACUCCUCGCGCGGCGUCGAUGCUGUAGGUGAUUUCGCCGCAUCGCCUAGGCCACCGCAGCCACGAGCACGAGCACACCCGAGCAUCGGCCUCCGCCAAGCUCGUCGUCGGCGAUGCUCCGGCCACUCCCCGGCCACGCCACGUAGGUGCUCUCCGCGCGCCAAAUGGUGCCCUGUGGGCAAAUCCCGUAGCACGCCGCUGCGUUUGGCCUCACCGGCGACUAAACACCGGCUGGCUUUGACCGCUGACCGGCGAGGUUAACCCCGCUGACACGGGUUGACCUCCCCCUCUCUCUCACUGAAAUGCGGGCCCCGCCCGACUAAUUACUCUGGUUCGUGCUAAUUAACUAGGUUAGUUUAGUUAAUAGUCACUGACUAGUGGGCCCUGCCCAAUUAAUUAGGACUAACUAGCUUAGUUAGUACACAGAGACAGUGAUAGAUGGGGCCCACCAGUUAGGUUUGACCUGGGCUGGCGCCUUUGACUCGAUGACAUCACAGUGACGUAGUGCUGACGAAGUUAUUUAAUUUUGGGAUUUAUUUUUAUAUAGGAAAUUAUAGAAAAUAGCCAAAACUUCUAAAAAUCAUAGAAAAUCAACCAUAGCUCCAAAUCCAACAAAUUAUAUAUGAAAAAUGAUCAGAAAAAUUCAAUAUAUCCAUCUGUAAUGGUUUCAUGCAUGACAAAACACUUUAACCUUGCUGUUUAGGUGAAAAAAGCUAAUACACUUAUUAUGCAUAAGAACUUAAGCUUCCAUUUGAAUCUUUGAUUCAAAUGGACCCAUUUCAACUUGUUUCACAUUGCAUUAGGCAGGACACAUUAUUUUGCCAUGUCAUAGCAUGCAUCAUAUCGUUGCAUAUUGCCAUGUGUUGAUUAUCUUCUGUGGUGUCUCUCGUGGUAGGUUCUGCCUCUGGGGAUAUCUCCGAGUAUCCAACUGAAGGGCAGUACACUACUACUACUUCAUCAGGCAAGCAGCCCCAUUGAUCAUAUCGAUACAAUCCCAUGUUCUCGCCUCUGCUCUCAUUUACUGCAUUAAGACAACAAUGUUUCAAACUACUGUGUGCUGCGGUAGUUGAACCCUUAUCCUCUGCAUGACCUGUCAUUGCCACAAUAACUAGAUGAAACCCACUAGCAUGUGCAGGAGUUGAUUGAGCCAUGUAUGUGUUUCCUACCUUGCUAUGCCUGCUAUGCUUAGAGUUGUGUCAAGUCUGGUUCAUCUGGGUGAUGGGCUAGAGUGAAAUGAUUAUGUCGGUAAUGUGAGGAAUGUGUUGAACAUGAUUUGGUAAAGGUAUCGAUGAGAGGCCAUGUACGAGUACAUGGUGGGUUGUUUCAUUGAGGCCGUCCCUAAGAACUGAGAUCUGUAUGUGUGAUUUAAGAAUCAGCUACUACCAUACAUUGGGCCCAAAACCAAUGGACCCUCUCGGCUUCUUAAUCACCCUAGUACUUUGUCCAGGUGUUGCAAUUAGUUUCUGGUGUAUGUUGGUUAUGUGUUGGUGGUCGUGCAUAGCGCUGACCCUAGGGGUGGGCUAUGUUGCGGUAGAUACACCGUGGCCGGGUAUGCCGGGCGCCCGUUUGGUGUCUCGGGACCCUGUUCACAUCAUUCGGGGCCGUAUGUGGAAUUCUCGGCCGGACUCCCUGCGGAUGGAACCUGGAUAGGCGAUAAACCUGGACUAGAGACUUGAGUGUUUAGGUAGGCCGUGGCUGACACCCUCAUUGGGCUUCCGCUUGAAGGUUGCCGAGUACAUGUCGUGUAAACGACGGUAAGUGGUGAGAGCAUGUAUGAAGAAGUACACCCCUGCAGGGUUAACAUCAUCUAUUCUAAUAGCCGCGUCCGCGGUAAUGGACUACUUGGUUGCCUAUAUAGUUCAUAGACAAGUUAAUGGCUAGUACUAAAAGACUCAAGAUAAGUGUGAGUACCGAGGAUGGCCCUCUCGUAGGGUGACGAGGGAGGAUCCCCGGUGGAGUAUUGUGUUGGUGAUUAGUGGACUCGUGUGCGAAAACUAUUUUUACUAGUGGUGUCUCAUAGGAUAGCUUAGCCAAGAGUCAAAGCUGGCUUGCUGCAGUAACUCCACCACCUUCUUGAGAAUGAGCAUGUAUAGUAGGUUCUGUUGUAAGACUUGCUGAGUACCUUUGUACUCAUGUUUGCUUUAAUUACCGUUUUCAGACGACAACACCGCCCCCUCCGAUGGGUUUUAUGUAGACCUCGACGUUGAUGAGUGAAUUGCCACCCAGGUGGUGAUCCUGGCCAUGGAGGGCCCUAUGUAGAUAGAUAGGCUUCGGGAAGCCUUCUUUCUUUCUAGUGCCUGUACUCAGACUAUUUGCUUCCGCAUGUGCUUGUAUGCUUGUAUGACUUGAGUGUCGGGUCAUGUGACCCCUACCUGUAUGAACAUGUUUUGUAUGGCUCUCUGGAGCCUUUAAAUAAAGUACUUGAGUUGUAGAGUUUUGUUGUGAUGCCAUGUUGUAUUUGCACAUAUCGAGCAUAUUGUGUGUAUGAUUGAAAUGCUUGGUAUGUGUGGGAUCCGACAAUCUAGUUGUUUAUCCUUGGCAGCCUCUCUUAUGGGGAAAUGUAGUCUAGUGCUCCUUGAGCCAUAGUAGUCCGCUACAGCCCGGUUGACCGGAGUCUUGCUAGCCCAGCACUACUGCUCAGGACACUUGACUGCCCGGCAUGUGUUUCACUUUGUUCCUAUGUCUGUCCCUUCGGGGAAAUGUCACGCGGUGACUUCCGGAGUCCUGCCUAGCCUGCUACAUCCCAGGUUCCGCGGAGUCAUGUUAGCCCAGUGCUACAGCCCGGAUUCACACGUUGAUGACCGACAUGCUCGAUGUGAUUCAUGUAUGCCUGUCUCCAUAGGUCUGUGCCGCUUUGGGUUCACGACUAGCCAUGUCGGCCCGGGUUCUCUGUCAUAUGGAUGCUAGCGACACUAUCAUAUACGUGAGCCAAAAGGCGCAAACGGUCCCGGGCCAUGGUAAGGCGACACCCGUGGGGAUACCGUGCGUGAGGCCGCAAUGUGAUAUGAGGUGUUACCGGCUAGAUUGAUGCGACUUGGAAUCAGGGUCCUGACAGCGUUGGCAUUAGAGCCGGACUACCUGUAGGUUCGUUGAGCCAAACUGGUCGAUGUCGAGUCUAGAAAUGCUUUAGUUAUAUGUAGGGGAAUUGAUUGUGGGAGGGAACGUAAGGCUCUUUUACUCCUUUACCUUAUGACCUCUGAUCUGAGUCAUUCUCUUCUCUUUCAACAUGGGUUAAGGACUAGGCUCUCUUCUUCUAUCAGGUUCACGUGUUACUAAUCCGUAGUAGCUUAUAGGAUUGUUGUUACCAGCCACAGUACAAUUUCUUCUACUUUUAGUAUGUUGCCAGUUGAAUCAGAACCUUGAUAUGAUGUUGUUUAGUGGUAUUGCAAACUGUUGUGGAUGUCUCAAAUCUUUUUCUGAGCAUUUACAGCCAUUAUGCUGUCUGAUUUCCCCUAGAAAAUUCUAAUGCAUUUGCAUUAUUCUGUGCUUUCAGAUGGCCACCCGUUCGCAGAACCAAGUGGUUCGUCUGACCCGGUGCCUUGAUGUGCCCGGCCACACAGCCAUGUUGGUUCGAGUGAUGGUUGAGUCAGCCUAUCGGUGGUAUCCGGAAUAUACCGUCGAGGAGCAGUUCAGAGACUUCAACCAGAGCCAGUACCUAUGUACCGUCAGGAUAUAUCCCUCUUAUCCUGGAGCCACUGAGCCCCUUCACUGUUCCUAUGGACUUGGGGUCACUAUUGAGAUGUCUGUGCAGGAUGAAGCCUAUUCAAUGAUGACUAUCAUUCAAGCCAGGACUGCCUUGCUUCAGAACACCGACUUCCGUUACAUGCCAACCUGUCUUCCUGGAGCACAGGGGUACUAUCAGGCUUUGUACUAUGACUCUUCACAUGAGGAGUCACUACUCUGCACCACUGCUGAGAUGCUCGAGGAUAAGGACCGCGAAAAUGGGGCCUUGCGUAUGGAGCUUUUCCACUUUCGUUUUGAUCAUUGGGCCACUUUGACUCGGUUUGCACAUGCGGUGCAGGCAGGAUACAUGGACAUGAGGGACUUGUACGCUGUACGGUCUGGAUUGCUAGAUUGUAUGGAGCGGUGCGAUGUAGGAGGCAUCACCCCUCCUCGUGGUCCCCGUCUGCCACCACCUGUGGGACCGAGGCCACAUCCGAGUCCCUAUGGUCCGCAGGCUUCGCAGGACCAUCUGUUCCCAGAUGAUCAUGUUCCACCUCCAGGAUUUGGUGGCGACUUCUAUGAGGAUUACUAUGGAGCCGUCUGAGCUAGUAGUAGUUUCACUAGUAUUGUAAUAGUUGUAUUCUCCACAAUCCUGCGUGACCCGUGGGAUACAACUUGGUGUGUAUCACACUCCGGAGGUGUAGAAAAAUAAUGUAUAGGAGCUUGGAAUGCCUUCGAUGAGAUGUAAUGUCUUUCACCGUAGUUGUACUUUAGCAUGGGCUUUUACGAAACUAUGUACGGUGUGUAUGACCAAUGGUAUAUAUAUGGCAGUUUCUAUACUACCAUGUCGUGCAAUGAAAAUCUUAGCAUUCCAUGUUAUCCAUUACCUUUUGCACUUCAUUGCUAAGUUUGUGCCAUCCUUAUCUAAACCGUUGUCUUGUUUUCUCCUAGGAUGGUCAACACCCACAGCAACCCUGCUGCCCCGGAGCAGGGGGAAGCCAGUGCAGCUAGGGGUGAAAAUCUGCCUCACCCACCUUCUCUGGCCGAAGUUGUGCUGGAGGUGGAAAGAAACAAGCGUGGGACUAACCGCUUGCUGGAGCGGAUUGAGCAGAACACUACACGCCAUCAGCGAAAUGACUUGGUGUCAAUCAAUGACUUUAUCAAGUUGUACCCACCAAAGUAUAAUCAUUCCGUCGAGCCCCUCAAUGCGGAUGACUUGCUCCGCAGCAUCACACACAAGCUACGUUCUGCCAACAUAGCCGCAGCUAAUAAGGUUACCUAUGCUGCCUAUCACCUCGAAGGCCCUGCUAGCCUUUGGUGGGAAAACUUUGAGGCUAUGCGCCCGGUCGGCCAAAUCACUACUUGGGCUGAAUUCAGUGAGGCUUUCCGUGAGCAUCACAUCCCGGAAGGUCUCAUAGGUCACAAGAGGGAAGAGUUCUGCAAUUUCACCCAAGGAAGACUGACUGUGGAUGCAUAUAGUCGUGAAUUUAGGAAUCUGGCACGAUAUGCUCCUGAAGAGGUAUCCACCGACGCUAAGAAGCAGGCAAGGUUCCGCAAGGGACUUAGCCCUAAGAUUCGCUGCGACCUUCGACUGCACGAGUGCACCUCCUUUCAGAAGUUGGUCAAUAAAGCCAUCAGUGCUAAGACAUGACAGUCUGACUAUGACGCUUCACGCAAGCACUCUCGUGAUUUUGGCUCUUCAUCCGGCUCUGGAUCUCAGAAGCGCCGGGUGUGGAUCCCAAGCACGACACUGCCACCCAGGUUCAUGCCGAGGCCAUCCUUUGAGGCGCCUCGCCCCAACCAGCAGUUUGCUCCGUCCAAGCCCUAUGGUGGCCCCGAUGCUAAUACUGCUCCAUGCCCCAAUGUUGUGACAUGUUUCAAGUGUGGAGAGCCGGGUCACUAUAGUCGAGAGUGUCCCCAAAACAACGACCCCAAUCAGUCUGGAAAGUCCGUUGGCCGUGGUAAGCCAGUGGGAAAGACAUUCUACGCUAAGCCGGUCACCACUGCACGUGGCCAUGUCAACUAUGUCUCAGCUGAGGAGGCUCAUGAGGAUCCUAACGUCAUCCUUGGUAUGCUCCUUGUUAAUUGCCAUCUGGCAUUUGUUCUUUUUGAUACUGCAGCAUCUCAUUCAUUCAUAUCUGAGAGCUAUGCUCGAUUGCAUAACACAACAUUCUGUGACAUGCCCAUUACCAUGGAAAUUCAAACCCCUGGCUCUAGAUGGCAAACUUCUAGAGUAAGCCAUGGGAAUGAAAUUCUUGUCGAUAGACUUGUCUUCCUUGCAUCCUUAAUAGCUCUCAAGUCCUCGGACAUAAACAUCAUCUUGGGUAUGGACUGGAUAUCAGCUCAUUAUGCUAAGACUGAUUGUGCUACUAGAACCAUUCAACUUACUCACCCAUCGGGCCAGACAGUCAAUGUCUUAACUCAAGUGGCCAAGCGCCAGCUUUACUCUCUAAAUGCCAACCCCCUUCCAGACCUUGAAGAUAUUCCGGUAGCCCGAGACUUUCCGGAUGUCUUUCCAGAAGAACUGCCAGGUGUUCCACCUGACAGGGAUGUCGAGUUUGUGACAGACCUUGUUCCAGGAACUGUUCCAAUUUCUAGAAGACCCUAUAAGAUGGCACCCUUAGAACUAGCCGAGCUUAAGAACCAACUCGACGAGUCCUUGAAAAAGGGUUUCAUCCAUCCUAGUUCCUCCCCUUGGGCUUGCCCCAUCCUCUUUAUCAAGAAGAAAGAUGGAAUGGAUCGGAUGGUUGUAGAUUACCGACCUGUCAACUUGUUCACUAUCAAGAAAAAGUAUCCGCUUCCCAGGAUCAACGAUCUGUAUUAUGAGCUCGCUGGAUCCUUAGUUUUUUCCAAGAUGGAUUUGAGGUUGGGCUACCAUCAAAUCAAAAUUAGAAACGGGGACAUUCCCAAAACGGCCCUCGUUACUCGUUAUGGCCAAUACGAGUACACUGUCAUGUUCUUCGGUUUAACCAAUGCCCCAGCCAGUUUCUCUCGGUUAAUGAACUCAGUCUUCAUGGAGUAUCUGGAUAAAUUCGUUGUAGUAUACCUCGAUGACAUACUCAUCUAUUCCAAUAAUGAAGAGGAACAUGCCGAACAUCUAAGGCUGGUAUUGACGAAACUUCGAGAGCAUCGCCUUUAUGCCAAAUUCUCCAAGUGUGAAUUUGGUUGCCAGAAGUGACCUAUCUAGGCCAUGUAAUCUCCGGUAAGGGUAUUGCUGUCAAUACCGAGCGAGUUCAAGCCGUCCUUGAUUGGAGUCCACCUGAGACGGUCAAGCAAGUUCAGAACUUCCUUGGCUUAGUGAGCUAUUGCCGCCGCUUCGUCGAGAAUUUCUCCAAGGUUGCUAAACCUCUAAUUGAACUCCUCAAGAAAGAUAAAAAGUUUGAGUGGACCCCACAGUGCGAGUUCACCUUUCAGGAACUGAAAAGACGCCUGACAUCUUCUCCCGUACUGGUACCACCAGAUUUCUCCAAGGACUUUAUUAUCUGUUGUGACGCCUCACGACAAGGACUAGGUUGCAUACUCAUGCAAGAUCAUCAGGUAAUUGCCUAUGCUUCAUGGCAAUUACACCCACAAGAGGAAAAUUAUCCCACACAUGAUCUAGAGCUUGCAGCUGUAGUCCAUGCACUUAAAACUUGGCGACAUUACCUCCUCGGUAAUCGUUGCGAGAUCUUCACCGAUCACCAAAGUUUGAAAUACACCCAACCGGGUUUGAAUCUCAGGCAAAGACGUUGGGUCGAGUUGAUCUCGGAUUAUGACCUAGGAACAACUUACACCCCGGGCAAAGCCAAUGUCAUGGCUGAUGCGCUAAGUCGUAAAUCUUAUUGUACCAACCUGAUGUUACAACAGAGUCAACCACUUCUCCAUGAGGAAUUUCGUAAGCUUAAUCUUCACAUUGUUCCUCGAGGAUUCCUAUCCACCCUGGUGGCGAAACCUACCCUUACGGAUCAGAUCAUCAAGGCACAGAAGGUAGAUCCGGGAAUCUCCCGUAUUAAGAGAAACAUUAAGAAAGGAGUCGCGAAUUGUUUCUCCAUUGAUGAUCAAGGUGUUGUAUACUUUGGAAACCGCUUAGUGGUUCCCAAGGCACGAAACCUGAGGCGGCUGAUCCUUAAGGAAGAUCAUGAAUCCCCUCUCACCAUUCAUCCCGGUAGUACUAAGAUGUAUCAAGACCUACGCCAGAGGUUCUGGUGGACUAGGAUGAAGAGAGAAAUUGCUCAGUACAUUGCUAAUUGCGACGUCUGCCAUCGUGUAAAAGCAGAGCAUCAACGGCCUGCUGGCACCCUUCAACCCUUAGCUAUUCCUGAAUGGAAAUGGGAUAAAAUUGGUAUGGAUUUCAUUACCGGUUUUCCCAGAACCAAGAGAGGGAAUAAUGCUAUCUUCGUCGUUGUCGAUCGUCUUUCCAAAGUGGCCCAUUUCUUACCUGUUCGUGAGAGUAUCACCGCUAGCCAGCUAGCUGACCUAUACAUCUCCCGAAUAGUGUCUCUUCAUGGUGUCCCAUUGGAAAUUAACUUAGACCGUGGGAGUCUCUUCACCUCUCGAUUUUGGGAAAGUUUUCAAAAUGCUAUGGGAACUCGUCUCUCUUUUAGCACCACCUUCCACCCUCAAUCAAGUGGUCAAGUAGAGCGAGUCAAUCAAAUUCUGGAAGAUAUGCUCCGAGCUUCUGUCAUCUCCUUCAGAAUGGAUUGGGAGAAAUGCCUUCCAUUCGCGGAGUUUGCUUAUAACAAUAGUUAUCAAGCUAGCUUGGGAAAAACUCCUUUCGAAGUUCUCUAUGGACGAAAAUGUCGAACGCCUCUUAACAGGUCAGAAACCAGGAAAAGACAACUCUUUGGCCCGGAUAUGAUUCAGGAAGCAGAAGAGCAGGUUCGCGUUAUUCGUGAGAAAUUGAAAAUAGCCCAAUCUCGUCAAAAGAGCCAAUAUGAUUGUAAACAUAAGCUCAUGACUUAUGAAGUCGGUGAGAAGGCUUACCUUCGGGUUACUCCGUUAAAGGGAACCCAUCGUUUCGGUAUCAAAGGCAAAUUGGCUCCUCGUUACAUUGGACCCUUUCGCAUUCUUGCCAAACGAGGAGAAGUUGCCUACCAAUUGGAAAUACCUCCGCAUCUUUCCAGAGUUCACGAUGUCUUCCACGUUUCUCAACUCAGGCGUUGCUUCGCGGAUCCUAUCCGUGGAGUGGACCACGAAACGCUUAAUCUACAAGAUAACCUCUCAUACCGGGAAUAUCCCAUUCGUAUCCUUGAUCAAGCCGAGCGUACCACUCGACGCCAUAACAUCAAGUUUCUCAAGGUUCAAUGGUCACACCAUUCCGAGAAAGAAGCUACUUGGGAAAGGGAGGAUCGUCUUCGACUUGAGUACCCCUCCUUCUUCCCGACGAGUCCUGAAUCUCGGGACGCGAUUCUUUUGAGUGGGGGUGAGUUGUCACAUCCAUGCUUUCCUGUUAUGCAGUAGGGUUGGUUGAACUUGUGCAUCAUGUUUAAAUUUCUUUUAAACUUGAAAUGGGGGCUAAUCAACCCCAACACCCCCCCUGAAAAUGCUAAAUUCCAACAAUUGGAAUUUCAAUGAACCCAAAAUGCCCUUCAUAAAAGCCCACUAUUUUUGGUUCUGGUUUAAACCUCUGCCAAAAAUGGUUCUACAAUUUAUGGGGCCAUUCUGGAUUUUUGAACCAAGUCAUAAGUAUUUGAAUUUGGGCAUUUUAAAUCUUAUAAAUAUUUUAAAGUGCUCAAAUAAUCUUGGAAGCAUUUUUAGGGAGUUGAGAAUAUUCUCAAAUGUGCCUCUGAAUAUUUCCAGAGUUUUUGGAAAUGAAAUACUAUUUAUUCUAUUUCAAAACACAGUACAAAAAAUAAAUAAAAGAGAAACAAAAAACAGUGCAGAGCACUUACUUGAGCCCACCUAGCAGCCCAGCCCACCUGCUGUGCCAGCGAGCUGCUUGCUCUCGCCAGCACAGGCAGGCAGGUGCUCGACGGCGAGCAUAGCAAGCUUGCCACGCAGCUGCCCGCCACCCAGCCGCUCCCCUCGUCGACCUGUCGCCCUGGGACGAACCCUCUCUCUCUCCCCGAGCUCCCAGACACACUCGCUCUCUCUCUGGUUCCCUCUCUCACCCUCCCCGACGUCGCCCGAGACGUCACCGUUGCUGCCGCCGCCGCAGCCGUGUCCAACGACGUCCCCGCGCCCUCUCACCGUGUCUAGACGGUUCGCCGUCGUCGACUACGUCGACCAGCCGAGCUGCACGAUGCCGGAGCCCCUACUUCGUCCCCACCACCGUCGUCUUCAACCUUCGUCCGCCGUCGAUCGUCGUCCUCGAUCCGCCGCACCCGAGCUUCCCCGAGCAUGCUGACCCUCCCUGCGGCUUCCCUGUGAGCUGCUGAACCUCCCCGUGCUUUUUGUUUCGCCCCUAGAACACCGUAGGCGCCGUGCCUCUUGUGCCCGAAUGCGCCGCCGCCUGACCACAUCACUGGCGAUGCUCCGGUGACAAUUUGUUAACGGGCUUGUGCCCGUCACACUCCCCGCACGGUGUAGAUGCUGUAGGUGCUUUCGCCGCAUUGCCUAGGCCACCGCAGCCACGAGCACGAGCACACCCGAGCCUCGGCCUCCGCCGAGCUCGUCGUCGGCGAUGCUCCGACCACUCCCCGGCCAAACCACCACCGUGGUUGGAUGCGGGCGAGUCCCAGCUCCAGGUAGGUGCUCUCCGCGUGCCAAAUGGUGCCCUGUGGGCAAAUCCUGCAGCACACCGCCGCGUCUGGCCUCGCCGGCGGCUAAACGCCGGCAGGCUUUGACCGCUGAGCGGCGAGGUUCACCCCGCUGACACGGGUUAACCUCCCCCUCUCUCUCACUGACAUGCGGGCCCCGCCCGACUAAUUAGUCUAGUUAGUGCUAAUUAACUAGGUUAGUUUAGUUAAUAGUCACUGACUAGUGGGCCCUGCCCAAUUAAUUAGGACUAACUAGCUUAGUUAGUACACAGAGACACUGACAGAUGGGGCCCACUAGUCAGGUUUGACCUGGGCUGGCGCCUUUGACUCGUUGACGUCACAGUGACGUAGUGCUGACGCAGUUAUUUAGUUUUUGGAUUUAUUAUUAUAUAGGAAAUUCCAAAAAAUAGCCAAAACUUCUAAAAAUCAUAGAAAAUCAACCAUAGCUCCAAAUCCAACAAAUUAUAUAUGAAAAUUGAUCAGAAAAAUUCAAUCUAUCCAUCUGUAAUGGUUUCAUGCAUGACAAAACACUUUCACCUUGCUGUUUAGGUGAAACAUGUUGGAAAUAUGCCUUAGAGGCAAUAAUAAAAGGAUUAUUAUUAUAUUUCCUUGUUCAUGAUAAUUGUCUUUUAUUCAUGCUAUAAUUGUGUUAUCCGGAAAUCAUAAUACAUGUGUGAAUACAUAGACACCAACAUGUCCCUAGUAAGCCUCUAGUUGACUAGCUCAUUGAUCAAUAGAUAGUCAUGGUUUCCUGACUAUGGACAUUGGAUGUCAUUGAUAACGAGAUCACAUCAUUAGGAGAAUGAUGUGAUGGACAAUCCUAAACAUAGCACAAGAUCGUAUAGUUCGUUUACUAGAGUUUUUCCAAUGUCAAGUAUCUUUUCCUUAGACCAUGAGAUCGUGUAACUCCCGGAUACUGUAGGAGUGCUUUGGUUAUACCAAACGUCACAACGUAACUGGGUGACUAUAAAGGUAUACUACGGGUCUCUCCGAAAGAGUCUGUUGGGUUGACGCGGAUCAAGACUGGGAUUUGUCACUCCGUAUGAUGGAGAGGUAUCUCUGGGCCCACUCGGUAAUGCAUUACGGUACGAGUAAAGUGACUUGCCGGUAACGAGAUUGAACGAGGUAUUGGGAUACCGACGAUUGAAUCUCGGGCAAGUAACAUACCAAUUGACAAAGGGAAUUGUAUACGGGGUUGCUUGAAUCCUCGACAUCAUGGUUCAUCCGAUGAGAUCAUCGAGGAGCAUGUGGGAGCCAACAUGGGUAUCCAGAUCCCGCUGUUGCUUAUUGACCAGAGAGCCAUCUCGGUCAUGUCUACAUGUCUCCCGAACCCGUAGGGUCUACACACUUAAGGUUUGGUGACGCUAGGGUUGAAGAGAUAUGAAUAUGCAGUAACCGGAAAGUUGUUCGGAGUCCCGGAUGAGAUCCCGAACGUCACGAGGAGUUCCGAAAUGGUCCGGAGGUGAAGAAUUAUAUAUAGGAAGUGCAGUUUCGGCCACCGAGAGAGUUUCGGGGGUCACCGGUAUUGUACCGGGACCACCGGAUGGGUCCCGGGGGUCCACCGGUGGGACCACCCAUCCCGGAGGGCCCCAUGGUCUGAAGUGGGGAGGGGAACCAGCCCAUAGUGGGCUGGUGCGCCCCCCUUGGCCCACCCCUUGCGCCUAGGGUUGGAAACCCUAGGGUGGGGGGGCGCCCCACUUGCCUUGGGGGCCACUCCACCCUUGGCCGCUGCCCCCCUAGGAGAACCCAUCUCCUAGGGCCGGUGCCCCCCCUUGGGGACCCUUGGCAGCCGCACCCUUGACUCUUGGCGCCUCCCUCUCCCCUGCUACACCUCUCCCUCUCAUAGUAGAACGGCGAAGCCCUACUGCGAUGACUCCAGCAUCCACCACCACGCCGUCGUGCUGCUGGAUCUUCAUCAACCUCUCCUCCCCCCUUGCUGGAUCAAGAAGGAGGAGACGUCACGCUGACUGUACAUGUGUUGAACACGGAGGUGCCGUCCGUUCGGCGCUAGGAUCUCCGGUGAUUUGGAUCACGUCGAGUACGACUCCCUCAUCCCCGUUCUUUGAACGCUUCCGCGCGUGAUCUACAAAGGUAUGUAGAUGCAAUCCGAUCACUCGUUGCUAGAUGAACUCAUAGAUGGAUCUUGGUGAAACCGUAGGAAAUUUUUUUGUUUUCUGCAACGUUCCCCAACAGUGGCAUCAUGAGCUAGGUCUAUGCGUAGUUCCUUUUGCACGAGUAGAACACAAUUUGUUGUGGGCGUAGAUGUUGUCAACUUUCUUGCCGCUACUAGUCUUAUUUUGCUUCAAUGGUAUUGUGGGAUGAAGCGGCUCGGACCAACCUUACACAUACGCUUACGUGAGACCGGUUCCACUGACUGACAUGCACUAGUUGCAUAAGGUGGCUGGCGGGUGUCUGUCUCUCCCACUUUAGUUGGAGCGGAUUUGAUGAAAAGGGUCCUUAUGAAGGGUAAAUAGAAGUUGACAAAUCACGUUGUGGCUUUAACAUAGGUAAGAAAAUGUUCUUGCUAGAACCCUCUUGCAGCCACGUAAAACUUGCAACAACAAUUAGAGGACGUCUAACUUGUUUUUGAAGCAAGUGUUCUGUGAUGUGAUAUGGCCAAAGUUGUGAUGAAUGAUGAAUGAUAUAUAUGUGAUGUAUGAGAUCAUGUUCUUGUAAUAGGAAUCAUGACUUGCAUGUCGAUGAGUAUGACAACCGGCAGGAGCCAUAGGAGUUGUCUUUAUUUUUUGUAUGGCCUGCGUGUCAUUGAGAAACGCCAUGUAAAUUACUUUACUUUAUUGCUAAACGUGUUAGCCAUAGUAGUAGAAGUAAUAGUUGGCGAGCAACUUCAUGGAGACAUGAUGAUGGAGAUCAUGAUUAUGGAGAUCAUGGUGUCAUGCCGGUGACAAGAUGAUCAUGGAGCCCCAAGAUGGAGAUCAAAGGAGCUAUGUGAUAUUGGCCAUAUCAUGUCACUAUUAUUAUUAUUUGAUUGCAUGUGAUGUUUAUCAUGUUUUUGCAUCUUGUUUACUUAGAACGACGAUAGUAAAUAAGAUGAUCCCUCAUAAUAAUUUCAAGAAAGUGUUCCCCCUAACUGUGCACCGUUGCGGCAGUUCGAUGUUUCGAAGCACCACGUGAUGAUCGGGUGUGAUAGAUUCCAACGUUCACAUACAACGGGUGUAAGACAGAUUUACACAUGCAAACACUUAGGUUGACUUGACGAGCCUAGCAUGUACAGACAUGGCCUCGGAACACAGAAGACCGAAAGGUCGAGCAUGAGUCGUAUAGAAGAUACGAUCAACAUGAAGAUGUUCACCGAUGUUGACUAGUCUGUCUCACAUGAUGAUCGGACACGGCCUAGUUAACUCGGAUCAUGUUAUACUUAGAUGACUGGAGGGAUGUCUAUCUAAGUGGGAGUUCAUUGAAUAAUUUGAUUAGAUGAACUUAAUUAUCAUGAACUUAGUCUAAAAUCUUUACAACAUGUAUUGUAGAUCAAAUGGCCAACGUUGUCCUCAACUUCAACGCGUUCCUAGAGAAAACCAAGCUAAAAGACGAUGGCAACAACUGUACGGACUGGGUCCGGAACCUGAGGAUCAUCCUCAUAGCUGCCAAGAAAGAUUAUGUCCUACAAGCACCGCUAGCUGAAGCACCUGUUCUCCCUGCAGAACAAGACGUUAUGAACGCUUGGCAGACACGUACCGAUGAUUACUCCCUCGUUCAGUGCGGCAUGCUUUACAGCUUAGAGCCGGGCCUCCAAAAGCGUUUUGAGAGAUACGGAGCAUAUGAGAUGUUCGAAGAGCUGAAAAUGGUUUUUCAAGAUCAUGCCCGGGUUGAGAGAUAUGAAGUCUCCGACAAGUUCUUCAGCUGUAAGAUGGAGGAAAACAGUUCUGUCAGUGAGCACAUACUCACUAUGUCUGGGUUACAUAACCGCUUGACUCAGCUGGGAGUUAAUCUCCCAGAUGACGCGGUCAUUGACAGAAUCCUUCAGUCGCUUCCAUCGAGCUACAAGAGCUUUGUGAUGAACUUCAAUAUGCAGGGGAUGGAAAAGACCAUUCCUGAAGUAUUUGCAAUGCUGAAAUCAGCAGAGGUAGAAGUCAAAAAGGAACAUCAAGUGUUGAUGGUGAAUAAAACCACUAAGUUCAAGAAAGGCAAGGGUAAGAAGAACUUCAACAAGGACGGAAAGGGAGUUGCCGCGCCCGACAAGCAAGUUGUCGGGAAGAAGCCAAAGAAUGGACCCAAGCCCGAGGCUGAGUGCUUUUAUUGCAAGGAAAGUGGUCACUGGAAGCAGAACUGCCCCAAAUACUUAGCGGACAAGAAGGCCGGCAAAAUGAAAGGUAUAUGUGAUAUACAUGUAAUUGAUGUGUACCUUACCAGUACUCGUAGUAGCUCCUGGGUAUUUGAUACCGGUGCAGUUGCUCACAUUUGUAACUCAAAGCAGGAGCUGCGGAAUAAGCGGAGACUGGCGAAGGACGAGGUGACGAUGCGCGUCGGGAAUGGUUCCAAGGUCGAUGUGAUCACCGUCGGCACGCUACCUCUACAUUUACCUAUGGGAUUAGUUUUGAACCUCAAUAAUUGUUUUUUAGUGCCAAGUUUGAGCAUGAACAUUGUAUCAGGAUCUCGUUUAAUACGAGAUGGCUACUCAUUUAAAUCCGAGAAUAAUGGUUGUUCUAUUUAUAUGAGAGAUACGUUUUAUGGUCAUGCUCCGGUGGUGAAUGGUUUAUUCUUAACGAAUCUCGAGCGUAAUGCUACACAUAUUCAUAGUGUGAGUACCAAAAGAUGUAAGGUUGAUAAUGAUAGUCCCACAUACUUGUGGCACUGCCGCCUUGGUCACAUAGGUGUCAAACGCAUGAAGAAGCUCCAUGCAGAUGGACUUUUAGAGUCUCUUGAUUACGAAUCAUUUGACACGUGCGAACCAUGCCUCAUGGGUAAAAUGACAAAUACUCCAUUCUCAGGAACAAUGGAGCGAGCAAACAACUUAUUGGAAAUCAUACAUACUGAUGUGUGCGGUCCAAUGUGUGUUGAGGCUCGCGGGGGUUAUUGUUAUGUUCUCACCCUCACUGAUGACUUGAGUAGAUAUGGGUAUGUCUACUUAAUGAAACACAAGUCUGAGACCUUUGAAAGGUUCAAGGAAUUUCAGAGUGAGGAUGAAAAUCAAUGUGACAGGAAAAUCAAGUUCCUACGAUCAGACCAUGGAGGACAAUACUUGAGUCACGAAUUUGGCACACACUUAAGAAAAUGUGGAAUAGUUUCAACUCACGCCGCCUGGAACACCUCAGCAUAAUGGUGUGUCCGAACGUCGUAAUCGCACUCUAUUAGAUAUGGUGCGAUCUAUGAUGUCUCUUACCGAUUUACCGCUAUCAUUUUGGGGCUAUGCUUUAGAGACUGCCGCAUUCACUUUCAAUAGGGCUCCGUCGAAAUCCGUUGUGACGACACCGUAUGAAUUAUGGUUUGGGAAGAAACCUAAGCUGUCGUUUCUAAAAGUUUGGGGAUGUGAUGCUUAUGUCAAGAAACUUCAACCUGAAAAGCUCGAACCCAAGUCGGAAAAAUGCGUCUUCAUAGGAUACCCUAAAGAAACUAUUGGGUAUACCUUCUACCUCAGAUCCG
rnacentral:lncRNA from 1 species